rnacentral:lncRNA from 1 species
ACUAAACAAUUUCAUAGUUCUACUACUUUACUUAAUUCGGUAUUACUUUAAUGGGUCAAGGGUGUGUGUUAAUGGACUGUGAAAGGUAGAACUUAAUUUGGACUAAAACCUAUUAUUCCAUUUAACGGGUCAUUGAUGUAUAUUAAUGGACUGAGAAAGGUAAAACUUAAUUUGGACUAAAGCAUAUUUCAUCGAUUAAGUAUAGGCUAGCAGUGACUUGUGAAAACGAUACUACCUUUCAUGUUAAGAACACUGUACAUGUGACUUGUGAAAGCUGUACACGAGCGUCUGUCAUGAUUGACAGUUUUUUCUCUCUGUCUUUGUGACAGUUCUGUCGUAUAUUUUCUUAAAAUACUUUCAGCCUAUAAACUUUAUUCAUAAAUUUUAUUUAUCGUAAGCUACACGAAUGGCAAGACCUUUAGAGGAGAUGUAUGCUAAUCUGGUGAUCGACGAUGAGGAGGAAGAAGGAGUUAUUGUUCCAAGCAAUGAGGUGGUGGCACAAAAGCAAACAUAUAUGUUAGUGGGGAAGUUUUUGACUGAGAAAAACAUUAAUUAUCACGCGAUGCAGAAUGUAAUGGCAGGAUUAUGGAGGCCUAAAGAAGGAAUGGAGGUAUACGAAAUGGGUGGCCAAAGGUAUUCUUUUGUGUUCUUUCAUAAACUUGAUCUGCAGAAGGUUAUAGAUGGGGGACCUUGGUCAUUUGAACAAGCGAUGCUAAUCUAUCAUCAAGUCGAGGAAGGGGAGGAUCCGAUUGCAGUUCCAUUACAACAAGUUGAAAUGUGGGUUCAGAUCUAUGAUAUACCGAGAGGGUUCUUGUCCGAAAAUGUACUUAAAAGUGUUGGUUCAUCGAUUGGUAAGUACAUUAAAUCAGAUCCUGGUACCUUUGAAGGAGGAUGGAAGCCAUACGUGCGUAUCAGAGUGUCAUUAAAUGUGGAGAAACCAUUGAAACGCCGGCUGAAAAUCAAACGGGAAGGCGACAACUGGAGCUGGUUAAAUUUUAAAUAUGAAAGACUGGGAACGUUCUGUUUUAUCUGUGGAAUCAUAGGGCAUGCGGAAAGAGACUGUAAUAUUGUUUAUGCCAACCCAGAUAAAAUGAUAGAGAAAGCAUACGGGGUCUGGCUACGUGCACCAAAUAGAAAUGCAAGAAAUAACACAGGAGCUCGGUGGCUUAGAAACAAAAAAGAUGGAGAUGGCAUGUGGGAGGCACAAAAUACAAGGAAAGAAACAACCACCAUGCAUGGUGGCGGACGGGUGGAGGACCGGUUCAAGGAGGUUGAAGGGGUGAUACGUCAAACGCCUGAUGACACGGAGGUGAUCAAGAUCAAAUCGCGGGAAAAUAGGGAAAUGUUAAUAAAUGACGGGGAUCAUGCAAUCAUAGGGCUGAAAAAAGGGGAUAUGACUGCAACAGAAAAGGAGAUGGAUACCGAAAAUAUAGUUGUUGAUGCUAAAAGAAAACGGAUUGAUGCAGAUGUGUUGGGAGAAAAUCAUGGACACGAUAUAGUAGACUAUAUGGAAAGCCAGCAAAUAGUUGGGUCAAAAAACUUGCUAGUGGCGGGUCCUGGAGUCCAGGCCCGCCAAGAAUUAUGAGUCUCUUAUCUUGGAACUGUCGUGGGCUGGCCAACUCACAGACAGUUAGAUUUCUAAGUGAAAUCAAUACUCAAUUUAGGCCCAGUAUUAUCUUUUUAAGUGAGACAUUAGUAAAGAAAAAAAGAGUAGAGACGGUGAGUAAAAAUUAGGCUUUGCGAAGUAUUUUGCAGUUGAUGCACAAGGACAGGGUGGGGGGCUUGCUCUGUUUUGGAAAAAUGAGGGAGGAAUUAACAUUUUGAGUAGCUGCAGUAACUACAUAGAUUUUGAAUGUACACAUGAAACCAUGGGCAAAUGGAGAUAUACGGGAUACUAUGGUUUUCCAGAGAGAAGAAGACGGGAAGAGUCUUGGAGUAUGAUCAGGAAUUUAUCAACAAAAUCAGCACUGCCUUGGUGUAUAAUUGGUGACUUUAAUGACAUGACUUCUUUGGAAGAGAAACGGGGGGGCCAACGUCAACCAAGGGCUUUACUAGAUGGGUUUUCUGAGACUAUCAUGGACUGUGGGCUAGAGGACUUGGGUUUUACAGGAGAUAUUUAUACAUGGGAGCGAGCGAGGGGGACGGAAAGAUGGAUACAGGAGAGACUAGAUAGAGGUUUAGCUUCGAAAGAAUGGUGUGAGUUAUUUCCAGAGGCGGAAGUUCAAGUACUGGAAAUGUCCACAUCUGAUCACAUGCCUCUGAUGUUACAACUGCAUAAGCAGAUCUAUGUUCCAAAACGAAGUAGAUUUAGAUUUGAGAAUAUGUGGGUGAAAGAAAGUGAAUGCAGAAAUAUUGUUCAAUCAUGCUGGAAUGAGGAGGGAGUUACUGAUUUACUGGAAAAAAUGGUACGAUGUUGUGCAAAACUAGAAGAAUGGGGUGGAAGUCUAAUACGGGACAUGAAGAAGAAGCUAGCAAAGUACAGAAAUGAUAUGCAAAGAUUGCGAGCCCGAAGAGAUGUGGCUGGAAUCCGUCAGUAUGAUGAAGCAAGAAGGCAUUAUCUGAGAUUACUCGAAAAGAAAGAAAUCUUUUGGCGCCAACGAGCCAAGCAAUUCUGGCUUCGUGAUGGUGACAAAAACACCAGAUUCUUUCACAAAUAUGCCUCGGCACGAAGGGAGCAUAAUAAAAUCAAAAAACUGAAGGAUGAAAGUGGGGAAUGGAAGGAAUCAGAGGAAGAUAUACAAGGGCUUAUUACAGAGUACUUUGAAAAUAUAUUCAGUACAUCAAAUACGGAAGAACGACUGUCCAAUAGAAUUGUUUUUAAGCAAAUAGAUGAAGAACAAAAACAAGCACUUGUGUUACCAAUCAGUGAUGAUGAAGUUAAAGCUGCUAUUUUUGCUAUGCACCCGGACAAGGCCCCGGGUAUGGAUGGAUUGAACCCUUCAUUCUUUCAAGCCUACUGGAAUAUAGUUGGUCCAGAUGUGUGUAAAUUUUGCCAACAUUUCUUUGAAACAGGGGAUCUGCCUGCAAAUAUCAACACAACAGUUGUGUGUUUGAUUCCAAAAGUGAAACAUCCGCAAAAAGUUGCAGAUUUACGACCCAUUUCCCUUUGUAAUGUGCUGAUGCGAAUUCUGUCAAAGGUCAUGGCGAAUAGAGUGAAACCAACUCUGCAUACAAUUAUCUCGGAGCAGCAAAGCGCAUUUAUUGAAAAUCGCCUUCUGACUGAUAAUGCUCUGGUGGCUUUUGAAGUGAAUCAUUACAUCCAUAGGAAAACCCAAGGAAAAACGGGGUUUGUUGGGUUAAAAGUCGAUGUAUCUAAGGCUUAUGACAGGUUAGAAUGGGCGUUUAUUGAAUUUAUGCAGCAGAAAUUUGAUUUUCCUCAAAUAUGGAUUGAGAGAAUAAUGAAAUGUGUUAAAACAGUGACUUAUAGUUUUCUUCACGACGGGAAAAUUUUUGGAAGUGUGAUACCUCAACGAGGAGUGCGUCAAGGAGAUCCUAUUUCACCGUAUUUAUACAUAAUGUGUGCUGAGGGGCUGAGUGGAAUUCUGAGGAGAUAUGAAGAAGAUGGGUUAAUUCAUGGGUGCAAAAUAGCUAGAGGAGCUCCACCUGUGUCCCAUCUGUUGUUUGCAGAUGACUGCUAUUUCUUCUUUAGAGCAUCGCAAGUGGAAGCAAGUAUAAUGAAAGACAUUCUGCAGGAGUACCAAAGUGUAUCUGGACAAAUGAUAAAUAGUAAUAAGUCAAACAUUACUUUUAGUCCAAAUACAAAAAGGGAGGACAGGGCAGGGGUGUGUGAAAUACUACAAGUAAAGGAGUCAGAGGUACCAGGAAAAUAUCUUGGCAUGCCUAUGCGUAUGGGCCGUAAUAAAAUGGAGGUUUUUGGUUUUUUAAAAGACAAAGUCCAGCAGAAGUUACAGGGAUGGGCCAAUAAAGAUAUCUCCAAGCAAGGGAAAUUAACGCUAUUGUCUUCGGCAACUCAGGUGCUACCCAAUUUUUGGAUGAAUCUAUUUCUAAUUCCAAAUGGUAUUUGUGAGGAUAUAGAGCGUAAAAUGAAUGGAUUCCUAUGGGGUAGAGGAGCAACAGGAAAAGGGGUUAAAUGGAUGGCGUGGACGAAGAUGUGUAAACCUAAAGGUUGUGGUGGUUUAGGAGUAAGAGAAUUGAGAAAGUUUAAUUUAGCUAUGUUGGCUAAGCAAUGCUGGCGAUUGCUCCAGGAAUCAAAUGCACUUGUGUCUACCAUAAUCAAAGCGAAAUAUUAUCCAAAAACAUCCUUUCUUGAGGCAGAGGUCGGGAAGAAUCCAAGUUAUAUGUGGAGGAGCUUAAUGGAGGCUAUGGAGGUUGUCAGAGCAGGAACUAGACGAAAAAUUGGGACGGGUGACGAUACAAAGGUGUGGCAUAUACCUUGGUUACCAGACGCGGAUGUUGGAGUCUUAACAACAGAAAUGCCCGACCAUUUGAUUGACAUUACUGUGAAUAAUUUGAUGGAUGCUACAGGCAAGAAUUGGGAUAUGGAUCUGAUUGAAGAUAUAUUUAAUGCACGGGAUGCAGAAUUAAUCAAACGAGUACCGAUCCCUAUGAUAGAAAAGAAAGACUCUUGGUUCUGGAUACUCGAUGAGAAAGGAACAUUUACAGUGAAAAGCUCAUAUAGAUGGCUGCAAGGGGAAUGCGAGAACACUCAUAAGAGAUUUUGGAACAAACUUUGGUCGUUGAAACUCCCAGGUAAAGUAACUCAUUUUGUUUGGCGUGUUUGUACAGGGUGCUUACCAACUGCAUGUGCUCUUUCAAAUAAGCAAGUGGUUCAGAGUGUGCAGUGUCCAUGGUGUAGGAAUGAGAUAGAAACGGAUACCCAUGUUUUAUUUACUUGCGAUUUUGCACGGACUGUUUGGGCUAUGACAGGAGUACAACAACGAAUUCAAGUAUUACCGCAUGAGCCAGCUUUUAAAAAUUUUAUCAAGAUCUUUGAAAUCUGCACAAAGGAACAAUGUGUGGAAGCUGUGAUGAUUACAUGGGGCUUGUGGAAUAGAAGAAAUAAAUGGCUCUGGGAGCAAAGUAAUGGAUCUGCUUUUGGUGUAAAGGCUGCAGCCAUACGGUUUAUUACAGAGUGGAGAGAGGCUCAGAAUUAUAAAGUGGGAAGAGGUUGUCACAAUGAAGAGGGUGAGCAUAUCUGGAAGAAACCAAUGGAAGGGUGGGUGAAAGUGAAUACAGAUGCUGCUCUCUUUCAGGAUGGUAGUGUUGGAGUGGGCUGUGUGAUGCGAGAUUCUCAGGGAGCGUUUAUUGGAGCCAGAUGCUGCAGAAGGAUGGGCGCAUGGUCACCGAGAGAGGCUGAGGCAAUUGGUAUGAAGGAAGCGUUGUCAUGGGUACUGAAAAGAAGAAACCAGCGAUGCAUUAUGGAAACAGACUCUCAGGUGCUUGUUCAGGCAUGUAAUGGCAGUCCAGGCGAAGCCAUCUUUGGCACAAUAGUUGGGGAUUGUAAUGAGUUAUUGAAGCACAUAAAUCCAGUGCUAGUUAAAUUUACUUAUCGUUCUGCGAAUAGUGUGGCGCAUAGCUUAGCAAAAGCCACCUGUUCUAUGUCAGAAGAAAGGGAGUGGCUUGAUAGUCCCCCGGAUUUUAUUUUGCAUGUACUCGAAAGAGAUAUGAUUUAAGUAAUGAGAGUACAAUUUAUUCAAAAAAAAAAAAAAAAAAAAAAAAUNGUAUAGUCUAGCAAAUUCUACCACUAAGAGCUCUCCUAGUUUAAUCUAAAACAACUUUUACACUUUCAAAACAUAUCCAUUAAAAGAAAUCAGUAGAUUCAUUAAAUUAAAACAAAUGAAAAACAAUCAUUUUCAUUGCUUUCCAUUUUUUAUCGAAAAUCUUGAAUUUGGAUAAUCUAUAUGCACAACCGUCGGUUCCCGGUUCGGAAUACUUGAGAUCCUGAUCCAGAUCCAAACUUUUUCGGGUAUAAAAUAAGAUCCAUAUACGGAUCCAGAUCGAAAAAAACCGGGUUCGAUAGAUUCAACCGAGUCGGAACGGGUCGGGUAAAACUGCCAU